GAUAACAGCAAAAUUCUAUUCUGGAGUCCAUAUCGACAACAGGGUUUACAACCUCAAGGUUGGAUGAGGACAUCCUAAUGUUGUAAGUGCUAUUAAGGGUUAGUUUUUUCAAAGAUUAAAGUCCUACAUGAUCUGAGUUCAGACCAGAGUAAUCCAGGUC
rnacentral:ncRNA from 1 species